rnacentral:rRNA from 1 species
GACGAACGCUGGCGGCGUGCCUAAUACAUGCAAGUAGAACGCUGAAGGAGGAGCUUGCUUCUCUGGAUGAGUUGCGAACGGGUGAGUAACGCGUAGGUAACCUGCCUGGUAGCGGGGGAUAACUAUUGGAAACGAUAGCUAAUACCGCAUAAGAGUAGAUGUUGCAUGACAUUUGCUUAAAAGGUGCAAUUGCAUCACUACCAGAUGGACCUGCGUUGCAUUAGCUAGUUGGUGAGGUAACGGCUCACCAAGGCAACGAUACAUAGCCGACCUGAGAGGGUGAUCGGCCACACUGGGACUGAGACACGGCCCAGACUCCUACGGGAGGCAGCAGUAGGGAAUCUUCGGCAAUGGACGGAAGUCUGACCGAGCAACGCCGCGUGAGUGAAGAAGGUUUUCGGAUCGUAAAGCUCUGUUGUAAGAGAAGAACGAGUGUGAGAGUGGAAAGUUCACACUGUGACGUAUCUACCAGAAGGG